rnacentral:lncRNA from 1 species
AUUGGUGUAUGAUCGCUUUCUUCAGAUAGAUAAGUCUUGAAUCUACGGUGUGGAGACAUCAAAGUAAAAAUAUAGGUGUUUGUUAAGAACAAAGGUAUUGAGCGUGACUAAUCACCGACAGUCACAAGGAUUUCUACCUUCUCAUCAAUGACUUGUUCAUUGCUAUGGUUGUGUGUCUAAUUCUCUGACAUUAAGUGCA